UACGUAGGGGGCAAGCGUUGUCCGGAAUCAUUGGGCGUAAAGAGCGUGUAGGCGGUCCGGUAAGUCGGUUGUGAAAGCCCAGGGCUCAACCCUGGGAUGCCGACCGAUACUGUCGGACUAGAGUUCGGAAGAGGCGAGUGGAAUUCCCGGUGUAGCGGUGAAAUGCGCAGAUAUCGGGAGGAACACCUAUGGCGAAGGCAGCUCGCUGGGACGUUACUGACGCUGAGACGCGAAAGCGUGGGGAGCAAACAGG
rnacentral:rRNA from 1 species